UUUCAUUAUUAUCUAAUCCUU
rnacentral:piRNA from 1 species